rnacentral:rRNA from 1 species
UGGGGAAUUUUGGACAAUGGGGGAAACCCUGAUCCAGCCAUCCCGCGUGUGCGAUGAAGGCCUUCGGGUUGUAAAGCACUUUUGGCAGGAAAGAAACGUCAUGGGUUAAUACCCCGUGAAACUGACGGUACCUGCAGAAUAAGCACCGGCUAACUACGUGCCAGCAGCCGCGGUAAUACGUAGGGUGCAAGCGUUAAUCGGAAUUACUGGGCGUAAAGCGUGCGCAGGCGGUUCGGAAAGAAAGAUGUGAAAUCCCAGAGCUCAACUUUGGAACUGCAUUUGUAACUACCGGGCUAGAGUGUGUCAGAGGGAGGUGGAAUUCCGCGUGUAGCAGUGAAAUGCGUAGAUAUGCGGAGGAACACCGAUGGCGAAGGCAGCCUCCUGGGAUAACACUGACGCUGAUGCACGAAAGCGUGGGGAGCAAACAGG